AGUUACGGCCAUGCCACCCUGAACAAGCCCAAUCCUGUCUGAUCUUGGAAGCUAAGCAGGGUCGGGCCUGGUUAGUACUUGGAUGGGAGACCACCUAGGAAGACCAGGUGCUGUAGGAG
rnacentral:rRNA from 1 species